AUUGCACGCUGGCGGCAGGCCUAACACAUGCAAGUCGAGCGAGCGGCGGACGGGUGAGUAAUGUAUGGGGACUGCCCGAUAGAGGGGGAUAACUACUGGAAACGGUAGCUAAUACCGCAUACUAUCGGAUAACCCAUAUGGGAUUAGCUAGUAGGUGAGGUACUGGCUCACCUAGGCGACGAUCCCUAGCUGGUCUGAGAGGAUGAUCAGCCACACGGGGACUGAGACACGGCCCAGACUCCUACGGAGGCAGCAGUGGGGAAUAUUGCACAAUGGGCGCAAGCUGGAGCAAGCCAGGCCGCGUGUAGGAAGAAGGCCCUAGGGUUGUAAAGUACGUUCAGUCGGGAGGCGUUACCGAAAGAAGAAGCACCGGCUAACUCCGUGCCAGCAGCCGCGGUAAUAC
rnacentral:rRNA from 1 species